AUUGAACGCUGGCGGCAUGCCUUACACAUGCAAGUCGAACGGCAGCACGGGUUCUUGCACCUGGUGGCGAGUGGCGAACGGGUGAGUAAUACAUCGGAACAUGUCCUGUAGUGGGGGAUAGCCCGGCGAAAGCCGGAUUAAUACCGCAUACGAUCUACGGAUGAAAGCGGGGGACCUUCGGGCCUCGCGCUAUAGGGUUGGCCGAUGGCUGAUUAGCUAGUUGGUGGGGUAAAGGCCUACCAAGGCGACGAUCAGUAGCUGGUCUGAGAGGACGACCAGCCACACUGGGACUGAGACACGGCCCAGACUCCUACGGGAGGCAGCAGUGGGGAAUUUUGGACAAUGGGCGAAAGCCUGAUCCAGCAAUGCCGCGUGUGUGAAGAAGGCCUUCGGGUUGUAAAGCACUUUUGUCCGGAAAGAAAUCCUUGGCCCUAAUACGGUCGGGGGAUGACGGUACCGGAAGAAUAAGCACCGGCUAACUACGUG
rnacentral:rRNA from 1 species